CACACACACACACACACACAGCUUUCACACUGCGUGGUAGGGCCAUGGAGAAUUCGCUCUCGGAUGUGGCAGUCUACGGAUUACAUGGAAAUGAACGGAGAAUUAACCAUACCUGGGGGAGCUGCCUUCCCAUUUUGCAGGUGAGUAAACAGGGCUUUGGGGGUUUGCCUGAGGCCUCAUAAUAAACCUGGCAGAGAGGAGACUUGGGCUCUGAGCUUCACACCGCAGGUCUUGUCCUCUCUCUGCUCUACCGGGAGUGGAUCAUGUUAAGGAAGGAGUAGUCUGAGCUGGAGGAGGAGGGAAGGGAGCCAUGAAUGUGGCUUAUUCUAGGCAGUGGCUGGUAAUCUCAACACAUCUCCAGGCUAUAGAGCUCACAGACUGUUGUUUCAAGGAACAUCUAGAUUGAGACAAAAGAUACUGCUAUUUUAUUUUUUCACUUGUCCCCAGCUCUGUUUGUAACCCAAUUCCCAGCGGCCCCAGGAAGCCGUAGGCCGGUCUCUCUCCGUCCAUUCAAUGCCACGUCUCCAGGUGAAUCUGCCACCCCAGUUGGGGAUCUGGAUCUUCCAGACGUGGGCACAGCAAUCAAGAGUCCAUUCAUCACGCAGAAAACGGACACCCGACAGAUCCAGUUCCACUUCGAUGCUGCAAACUACAGAAAAACAGAGGGCCUCAUUUUCUCAGGCACCGGGACAGAAAAGUUGCCAAGUAAAGGCCACAAGGGCUUCUCUUGUCCUUACCGGCCUGCCUUCAGCUGUCCUUGACUGGAACUGGGUUGUCUGGGAAGAAUGGCUCUCAAGAACAUUCACCCAACGUUUCUCUUCCUGUCCUUACAAUCAACUGAGAUAACAAUCUUGGGCAAGAAGAGCAACAUCUUCCUACACAUCCUGGAGUUCACCAAACCUCUGCCCACAA